UACGAGAGGCCCAAACGUUAUUCGGAAUUACUGGGCUUAAAGAGUUCGUAGGCGGCAUUACAAGUAGGGUGUGAAAGCCCUCGGCUCAACCGAGGAAUUGCGCUCUAAACUGUCGUGCUAGAGGAACCUAGAGGUGAGCAGAACAGAUGGUGGAGCGGUGAAAUGCGUUGAUAUCAUCUGGAAUACCGGAGGCGAAGGCGGCUCACUGGGGGUUUUCUGACGCUGAGGAACGAAAGCCAGGGUAGCGAACAGG
rnacentral:rRNA from 1 species